UGUAAUUUUGAAAUAGUUGACAAUUGUUAAUAAAAACUUUGAAGUAACAUACAAAAAAUUGAAAAAAAUAUAUUACUUUUUAUUUUAAGUACUUCACCCAUUAAAUUGGUAAAAUGUCAAGUAAUGUAUUUGUCUCCAUCUAACAACAAUUUAUGUUUCGUUGUUCAUGCACAGGCACAAGAACAAUGGUGGAUCUCACACCGUCGUUCAUUUACGAUAUCAACCGUCGCUCCACUUUCAAUAUUGUUGGCCGAAUGGCUCAACGAGCUCAAGAUCUCAUCGUUUUCGUGAUUCAAUUCAUAAAAUUGAACACAAUGUUGUAGAUGCUUCCUUCCCAAAAACAGCACCAGAAGCUUUUCCACUUCAUAGAAGUCACCUACCGAAUGUAUAUCGAAUUUGAACCACAUUCGUUACUGGCUCUCCACUCGGUACCGAUUCUUUUUAUGUGUAUUACCCAUCUAAUUCGAGUGUUUCUUCGAGAUUUCUCUAUGAGUUUUAUAAUUUGAUGAGUUCUUUUCAAUUAUAUUUUGGAGUUAUGAAUUAGUUUUAGUUUAUUGGAGGCAUUAUUUGAUUUAGACUUAAAGUUCAUAGUUUUAAUGUUAUUCCCAUUUUGUUUGUUGAUUUUAAGAAGUUAAGAAUAACAAUCAGUGAGACUUUGAGCUUGGAGUUAUCUUAGAAUAUUGUGGCGCUUGGAGGAGGAUGAUGUCUCUAUUUCUUAUUAUUACAUAUACUAUGUUUUAUGAUUAAAAACGAUGAUCAUAACUCGUUUUGUAAUAUGAAUGAUGUUUCUUAUUAUUACA